rnacentral:ncRNA from 1 species
ACAGCUUUGGUCCUGGGCUUACCGUUUUUUUCCUUUAAAAUUAUACAUGCAAGCCUCCGCACACCAGUGAGAAUGCCCACACCCCCUAAAAAGAAAGAUGGAGCCGACAUCAGGCACGACACCUAGCCCACAACGUCUUGUUCCUUUCCACACCCUCACGGGUUACAGCAGUAGUAAACCUUGGGCAAUAAGUGAAAACUUGACCCAGCUAUAGAGACACUAGGGCCGGUAAAUUUCGUGCCAGCCACCGCGGUUAUACGAAAAGCCCAAAUAAACGGAUUAACGGCGUAAAUCGUGACUAGAUACUAUUAUAUUAAAAAUAUAAAAACCUUUCAAUCAGUUGUAAAAUACUUAUAAACCUAAGGGAAAACCAAUAAAUAUAUUUUUAAUUCUAAAGCAUUGACCCCACGAAAGCUCAGAAACAAACUAGGAUUAGAUACCCUACUAUGCUAAGCCAUAAACAUUGAUAGAAUAUAUUCUACCACUCUAUCCGCCAGAGAAUUACUAGUGAAAAACUUGAAACUCAAAGGACUUGGCGGUGUCCCACUUCGACCUAGAGGAGCCUGUCCUAUAAUCGAUACUCCCCGUUCAACCCAACCUCAACUUGCAUAUUCAGCCUAUAUACCGCCGUCGACAGUCUACCCCAUGAGGGCUUAAUAGUAGACAUAACAGUUUCACCACUAACACGUCAGGUCAAGGUGUAGCAAAUGCUGAGGAAAGCGAUUGGCUACAUUUUUUUAAUAAAAAUAAACGAAAUGCAACAUGAAAUCAUGCAUGAAGGUGAAUUUAGCAGUAAGAUAAACAAGAGUGUUUAUCUUAAAUUCGCUCUGGGACGCGCACACACCGCCCGUCACCCUCCUCAUUACAACUCUUACGCAAUCUAUAAUACACCACUUAGUUACUAGAGGAGGCAAGUCGUAACAUGGUAAGCGUACCGGAAGGUGCGCUUGGACUA